CUGGCGGCGUGGCUAACACAUGCAAGUCGAACGAGAAAGUGGAGCAAUCCAUGAGUAAAGUGGCGCACGGGUGAGUAACACGUGACUAACCUACCCUUGAGUGGGGAAUAACUUCGGGAAACCGAGGCUAAUACCGCAUAACACCUACGGGUCAAAGGAGCAAUUCGCUUAAGGAGGGGGUCGCGGCAGAUUAGUUAGUUGGCGGGGUAAUGGCCCACCAAGACGGUGAUCUGUAUCCGGCCUGAGAGGGCGCACGGACACACUGGAACUGAAACACGGUCCAGACUCCUACGGGAGGCAGCAGUGGGGAAUUUUGCGCAAUGGGGGAAACCCUGACGCAGCAACGCCGCGUGGAGGAUGAAGUCCCUUGGGACGUAAACUCCUUUCGAUCGGGACGAUUAUGACGGUACCGGAAGAAGAAGCCCCGGCUAACUUCGUGCCAGCAGCCGCGGUAAUACGAGGGGGGCGAGCGUUGUUCGGAAUUAUUGGGCGUAAAGGGCGCGUANGCGGUCGGAUAAGUCUUGUGUGAAAUCUUCGGGCUCAACUCGAAGUCUG
rnacentral:rRNA from 1 species